CACACCACCGUUGAGCAUGAACAAGGUUUGGCAGCUUUGCACCAUUUCUCGAGUACCCGGCCUGAGACUGAGAUGCCUCCUACAGAAUGCAUUGUCACACUGACUGAAUGGACUCUUAAUCAGAACAUCUUUAUCUUCCAGGACCGUAUCUUUAAACAGAUUGGAAUGUCCACAGUGCAAGGUGUUCUACAUUGGACGGACAAAGAGACACCUUCAAGACCGCUUAGUGGAACACAAGUACACGAUACUGUGGCUCCAAGAGAAAGUGAAGGAGGCCAACCUUGACCCCCGUGAGAGCGUGGUUGCCAUGGAAGCACAGGUCAGCCAGUCGACCUCCGCCGUCCCUCGACUCCCUCCUCUCGGUCCUAUCAGUCAUUUGUGGUAGUUCUGUCUGAGUGGGCACGUUCAUUACAUCAUCUGUGAUCUCUCCCUGGCUACAUCCCGACUAUUCCCUAUGUAGUGCACUACUUUUGAUCAGGACGCGUUUGGGACGGAGCCCCCUAACGCCUGUCUCCCCUAUGGUGUCCAGAGGAAAGACUUCCCUAAGGGGAUCAGACGCACUCCGCUUCACUCUUUGAUCUAACAAGGCCCAGGGCACACUGGCACUUCCCUCGGAGGAAGCAGACUUCCCUCUGGUCCAGGAAGCGAUAAGGGGUAGCCAGGUUCCUCAGAGUCCAGGGUGACAUGACCAAGGAGAAGUCUGACAGUUAGUCACUGUCACAUCAAUGGCCCAACUGAACUCAGCUGGAUAGAUACAUGUUAUGUCAAUUAGCCUGGUAUUGGAUAAGUUGACACAACACUUUACUUCAUGGAUCUCAUGGAUUUAUUAGUUUACCAUACAGAGAUUUGAGAGAUGAACUAUAACAAUGGUUUAAUGUGACCAUUGCAUGUUCUACAUAGUUGGCCCUGGAAUAACCAU
ensembl:lncRNA